UUGAUGAUAAAUAUUUCUAUCUUGUUUUCAAAGAAAAUGAUGGACAUUUUCGGGGUAUUUGAGCAUCUCCAAAAAUGAGCUUGAAACGAAAGAAAAGUUACUGAACAAAAGUAUUCACGCAGAUGGGAAGCGAAAAAUGUGUGGAGACUGACGGAGGAAAUGAAAGGUGAAGACUUUAGAUAUGCAAAUUUGGUAGCAAAGUUACAUGGGUGAAACCCUAAUUCCUUGGAGGAGGUCAUAGAAACUAAACACUAGAAGUGACGUCUCUUAUGUUCUUAUUCAACUCACAGUGAAAAAUAAGCCAGUAGAAAGUUGAGCUUUUCUCAGUUGUACAUUCUGUAGAAAAACUUAAAUACAAAAAGGAAUCAAUUUUUUUAAAAAAGAAAUCUAGGCAGAGUCUACGAGUUGCAUGUCCAAGGCAUCUCGACCACCUGUCCAUCAAUGAGAUGGAAUUAUGAGAGGAUGGCAGGAACCCACACAUCUCCGUCCAGGUGGUCCAUGCUGGCCGAGCGCUUCCUGGAAGCUCGCCGUGCGUCCUUGAAGGUGACGUCGCUCAGUCUGGAAAUAGCCUGAAGACAUAAAAGGUUCUUCUUGUUUUCCCUGUUCUUCAAAAUUAACUUCCUUGACUUCAUAAAAGGAAAAAAAAAACAGGAACUUAGUUUGAUCAGGCGUUGGAAAAUAGGAAUGCCGGGAUCCAGCUCGUCUGUAAAUCUGUAUUCAAGAAUACAGUUUAACGGUGCACACAGUUCCUAAAGGAACAUAUCAGAUCAUUUUCAUCCACUCAUUGUAGUCCGACUGUUGGAUGAUCAUCCAUGUGGUCAUCACACAACACACGGAACAACAAGGCCGCCAUGACCGAGUUUGCAGGAUGCAGGACUCCCAAAGCUCAUCCGGGAGUAUGUGAGAGAAACCGGGCUCGACCUCGACAGAAUGUAAACCAAGGAUGGCGGGAUGACCUGCAUUCCCUUUGGAGCGAGACUGCAUAUGAUAGCAGGCAACAGUUGGCGCAAAGGACGUACCUCCAGCUUUUGGGCUUUGUGGUGGCUGAGGGCCUCCAGCGGGAUGCUGAGGUCAUUGGCCUCGGAGAGCGAGCGCAGGUCAAAGUAAUACUUGACGUAAACACUUGAAGGCACGUUGAUGUUGAACUGCACAAGUUCCAGGAAGUGUCGUUCCAGACGGUUCCUGUAGGACAUCGCAUCAGAGGAAUUUUUAUACGGUGAGCAUUAUAAUUCACAACAAAGUCUGCCAAAAAAGAUUGUGUCAUAAUGAAAUAUUAUUACUUGCUGUCAUUUGUUGGUGGAAAACCAGAAGAAACGCAUUUCUUUCUACUGACCAUCAAUGAUGACUACUUUGAUACGGUGAUGCAUUUUGAGACAUCGUAUAGUCAGUAUACAAGGUACAAGCCAGCAACAGGGGAGUUCAUUCUGAACCAUUCGCGACGCAGCUUCUGAAGACAUACAUGUCGACCACAGUCAUGUCUUUGAGGAUGUGACAGUAGUCCACGUUCCACACGGCGUGGUCGUCCCACACUUUGGAUGCCAGCAGGGCGGCACCCAGCACCAUUCGUCUCCACGUCGCAGGACUCAUGGAGACCUCUGCGUACGUCAGAAGCCUCUCCAGCAUGACAAUGGCGCACUCGGACCUGAGCUGUGCGGCGCAGAACAGCGUGCGGAUAAAGCGGUAAACCUGCCUCGGUUCUGGGUCCCGAUGGUUACAAUCGGCAGGUACCUGGUG